GUCUACAGAUAUUGACUCAGUUGGUGAGAGUGUGGUGUAGUUAACACCAAGGUGGCAGGUUCAAUCCCCGUACAGGACC